rnacentral:lncRNA from 1 species
AAAUGGUGAUUUAAAAAAAUUAUAUAGAAGACCUCCCUAAAGCUCAGCAAGGGAAAAUACAAAACUAUGCUUAUGACCUGAUACAUCUUGGAUUUGCAAUCCUUUUUAUUGUUACAUUUUUCGAAAGCUUCUAGAUGCAUUCAAGCAACUGAUCAUUGUACUUCUUUCAACUUUUUCAACAUUUCUUUCUUUUCGUUUACCAAGUUUUUUAAAUAUUUAUACCUUUAUAUAUAAUUUAAAUCCUGUAAAUCUUUAUUUGAUCUUCAGUUGAGAUGCAAAUGCCAUUCUGGCCUCUGUUUUUU